GGGUCAGGAGGUUGGUCGUGCCACCGGUACGUACUGGUCUCACUGAUUCCUCCUUCCUGAAGAACCGUAAUGCCAUUAAUUCGGUGUUGCGGGGAAACAGGACUGUUACUUUGAAAAAAUUAGAGUGUUUAAAGCAAGCUAACGCUUGAAUACAUUAGCAUGGAAUAAUGAAAUAGGACGAUCGAUCCUAUUUUGUUGGUUUCUAGGAUUGACGUA
rnacentral:rRNA from 1 species